rnacentral:rRNA from 1 species
UACGAAGGGGGCUAGCGUUGCUCGGAAUGACUGGGCGUAAAGGGCGCGUAGGCGGAUGGCACAGUCAGAUGUGAAAUUCCCGGGCUUAACCUGGGGGCUGCAUUUGAUACGUGUGAUCUAGAGUGAGGAAGAGGGUCGUGGAAUUCCCAGUGUAGAGGUGAAAUUCGUAGAUAUUGGGAAGAACACCUGUGGCGAAAGCGGCUCACUGGACCACAACUGACGCUGAGGCGCGAAAGCUAGGGGAGCAAACAGG